CUAACUGGAGGACCGAACCGACUAAUGUUGAAAAAUUAGCGGAUGACCUGUGGCUGGGGGUGAAAGGCCAAUCAAACCGGGAGAUAGCUGGUUCUCCCCGAAAGCUAUUUAGGUAGCGCCUCGUGAACUCAUCUCCGGGGGUAGAGCACUGUUUCGGCUAGGGGGCCAUCCCGGCUUACCAACCCGAUGCAAACUGCGAAUACCGGAGAAUGUUAUCACGGGAGACACACGGCGGGUGCUAACGUCCGUCGUGAA
rnacentral:rRNA from 8 species